CACUUUGGAGGCCAAGGCGGGUGGAUUG
rnacentral:piRNA from 1 species